AAUAGAUACCCGGGUAGUCCCAGCUGUAAACGAUGCGCGUUAGGUGUAUCGGUGACCACGAGUCUCCGAGGUGCCGAAGAGAAAUCGUGAAACGUGCCGCCUGGGAAGUACGGUCGCAAGGCUGAAACUUAAAGGGGAAUUGGGCGGGGGAGCACCACAACAGGUGGAGCCUGCGGUUUAAUCGGACUCAACGCCGGGAAGCUCACCGGAUAAGACAGCUGAAUGAUAGCCGGGUUGAAGACUCUGCUUGACUAGCUGAGAGGAGGUGCAUGGCCGUCGUCAGUUCGUACUGUGAAGCAUCCUGUUAAGUCAGGCAACGAGCGAGACCCACGCCAACAGUUGCCAGCAUGUCCUCCGGGGAUGGUGGGGACACUGUUGGGACCGCCUCUGCUAAAGAGGAGGAAGGAAUGGGCAACGGUAGGUCAGCAUGCCCCGAAUUAUCCGGGGCUACACGCGGGCUACAAUGGUCAGGACAAUGGGUAUCAACACCGAAAGGUGAAGGCAAUCUCCUAAACCUGUUCUUAGUUCGGAUUGUGGG
rnacentral:rRNA from 1 species